rnacentral:rRNA from 1 species
UACGGGGGGGAGCAAGCGUUGUUCGGAUUUACUGGGCGUAAAGGCGCGUAGGCGGCCUGUUAAGUCGAACGUGAAAUCCCUGGGCUCAACCCAGGAACUGCGUCCGAUACUGGCAGGCUUGAAUUCGGGAGAGGGAUGCGGAAUUCCAGGUGUAGCGGUGAAAUGCGUAGAUAUUGGGAAGAACACCGGUGGCGAAGGCGGCGACCUGGUCCGAUACUGACGCUGAGGCGCGAAAGCGUGGGGAGCAAACAGG